UACAGAGGGGGCAAGCGUUGUUCGGAAUUACUGGGCGUAAAGGGCGCGUAGGCGGCCUUCUAAGUCGAACGUGAAAUCCCCGGGCUCAACCCGGGAACUGCGUCCGAUACUGGAAGGCUUGAAUCCGGGAGAGGGAUGCGGAAUUCCGGGUGUAGUGGUGAAAUGCGUAGAGAUCCGGAGGAACCCCAGAGGCGAAGGCGGCGCCCUGGCUCGCAACUGACGCUCAGACACGACAGCAUGGGGAGCGAACGGG
rnacentral:rRNA from 1 species